AUGGAGUUGGGUUUGAGAUGGGUUUUUCUUGUUGCUGUUUUAAAAGGUGUCCAGUGUGAGGUGCAACUGGUGGAGUCUGGGGGAGGCUUAGUACCACCUGGGGGAUCCCUGAAACUCUCCUGUGCAGCCUCCAGAUUCACCUUUAGUGAUUACUACAUGGACUGUGUCCCCCAGGCUCCAGGGAAGGGGCUGGAGUGUGUUGGACAUAUUAGUAAAGAUGGUGGUAGUAUAUACUACCCAGACUCCGUGAAGGGCAGAUUCACCAGCUCCAGAGACAAUUCCAAGAGCCAGUUGUAUCUGCAGAUGAACAGCCUGAAAGCCGAGGACACUGCCGUGUAUUACUGUGUAAGACACCCAGUUAUGGGGCUUCAUUGUGAUCCCAGACACAAACCUCCCUGCAGGGACACUCAUGACCAGAGGGGGCGCACAGCACACAUGGAGCUCAGGCUCAGCCUCAGGUAA